rnacentral:sRNA from 1 species
AUUCUGCCCAUGCGGGGAAGGAUGAGAAGCUUCGACCAAGGUUCGACUCAAGUGCCAGCGAGAGAGCGUUGCCGCAGGCAACGACCCGUAGGGCGAAGCGCGCAGCGCUGAGUAAUCCUUCCCCCACCACCA